UGCCCAGCAACUCCUAUCCCUAACUCCUCGUGGUACCGGCCGGAAACUAUGACCAACCUUAGGAAAGAUCGGAUGGGAACUUUGGUCAUAGGCUGACAGGGGAGG
rnacentral:ribozyme from 1 species